GUACAUCUGAACCUGGACGCGCGAGGGCGAAGCGGUUAAUGGCGACAAACUUCUUAGCAACCUUCUUCUGCUUCUCACCAUAGAUAAGUUACUUACUACCACUGUUUAACCAUAGUUGUGCUUUAGACAUUUUAAACAUGAAUUAAAUGAAAUUUGAUCAUAUGUAAAUAAUGCUACUUCUUGCUAACUUUUGAUAACUAAUCAUAUAUGAUGCUAGCUAAAAUGCCAAUAAAGUUAGCCUUUCAUUUUAUGAUAGGUUUUUUUUUGUUAAUUAGGUAAAAGGAAAAAAAUAACAAAUUUAAUGACACAUAAAUAACUACUUAUACACCUGAGAAAAACUGAAAUUAGAACGUGUUAUGGGUUUAAUAUUAUUUGGAAACUGAGUAUGUGCUAAUUGAAACUGAUAAAACUGUGGUUGAAUGGCAAAAGUAAUAGUUAUUUAUUAUUUAUUAAUAGAAAACACAAACUACGCCCACAUUUAAUUACUUUAAAAAAAAUCUUUUAGUCAGCCUUUUACUAAAAACAUCAAAUUAAAUUGUUUGGAAUAAUACAAAUUAUUAAAUACAAAGUCUAUUGAUAAAAAAUAUAUCAUUAGAGUGUUGUGUGUUAAUAUUAAGACCUUCCUCUAUUAUUUGAAGUGGAAAACAUGUUACUAAUAACAAUAGCAGAGAUUCUGUUUAACUUAACCAGUGAGUCCUGACAGUGGGCCAUCAUGCACAUUACCUAGACCAAAGCUUUAAGUAUAACUAUUAUUAUAAGGUAAAAUAUAUAAUAUUAUUUAAGAUUGAAGCUUUUUGUCAUACUGUGACAUUGCAAAAUCAUUGCAAAGUCAUAUGGUAUCCACAUUUCUCAUAUUGUUUUGCUGCAUCCAGUGUGCAGUUGGACUAACUUGUUUAAAUUCAUGUACCACUUCUGGUGGACUUUUAAAUUAAACCUUUGUUGACAAAUUCUCAAAAUCACCUUUAAGUUUUGAGUCUUGGCAGUAUCUGUGAUAUUAGUUACAUAUAUUUGUGAAUGCAAGCUUAUUGAUUUUAUUUGAUUUUAAAUGCUCCGGAAAUUAAGUCUUGCUCGAUUCACCUAUAUUGAGGUGAUGCAAUAAGUGUGAUUCUGUACGGAGUCUUGUGUCAUGGUGUUAGGUCGAUGCUAUUAUGAGGUGUAUUCAUUUAUGUAGGACUAAGUGGGACAUUUAUGAAGACCUAGAAAUUAAAAUACUGGCCUGCAACUGGUAUUAUACCAUUUUGCAUUGCUGUACAACCUCAGGGCCUUGGCUUAACUUUCUUUCUUUGGUGCAUUUAAUUUACAAACCUAACGUUAACACAGACAUCAUGGAACGGUCCCAUUAAAUAAAUGGCAGACCUUUUAAUUUGGCUUUUCAUGGCUUAGAGAUACUGUAGUACUUAAUACCUGCUCAACUGAAUCACAGGAGAAGCAAAUCAAGACAUUGUGGUUCACUCCCUCAUUCAUAGCCACAUACACAUUCACACUAUGAGCAUAGGAAACACGUACACUAUUACUUUGACACACUAACACACGUUUGCACAUCCCCUCCCUCCCCAGCCUAGGGUCACAGUGUCAUUUUAUGAUAGUAGCCAUUUCUAGCAGGGAUCAUUUAAUUCUCCUACAUGAUUGAUACCAGUGCAGGUUAAAUGGGAAGAAAAAGGUCUGUUCUAUUAAGAGUUCAGUGGCUAGUGGAGACCUCCCACUUAAAUAGUCAUAUUUUCCAGAAGGUAUGUGUUUACGUGUAUGCAGUGUGUGUGUCAGUCAGUUUCUUGGUUAUGUUGAGGUGAUAGAAACAGUUGGAUAAAACCAUCCACAGGUCAAAGUAAAUAGCCUACAUAAUUUAAAAAGCAUUGACACCACAAUUUGUCCAUUCUGUAUUAUUGCUCUGACCCCUGUUAGUGUCAAUGGACUGGUUCAUUUUAACCUAGAUAGCUUAUGAAGGUGCUGUCUUCUCACUGCAUUGGAGGUAGUGUAAAACAAAGACAGAAAAACCUAAUAGUCACUUCAAAGCCAUUAUUCCAGUGAUUGAGAAACACUGAGAGACUUUAAUGUGAUAGCCUGUUAUUUCUAAUAAAACCAUUUUGCAGUAAAAAUUGCAGAUGAGAAGGUAAUUAUAAGCAUAUAGAUGGACAGGCUACUGCUCAUUAAACAGCCUAUUCUAUUAACCUUUUUUCCAUAAAGUGUUUUUCCUUGAUUAACGGGCAGCAGAGUUCCAGUGUGACGGAUCUGCCCUGAAACAACCCAAUGGACCUCAAUGCAGACUCUAAAACACUCUCUAACGCUAGUGUAGGAGGACAAGCAGGGGAGAAAGAAUUGUCUAGUACCCACAGUGAAGCGGAAAAUGAAGGAGCUAUCUUAUUACAGUUGCUGGAGUUUAAAAACCAUCUACUGGAGGCUAUAGAGGAGUUGCAUAUUCGAAGGGACUCUGAGACACGGUUUGAGGAUCAGCUCAGUAAACUGGUGCUGGAGAAACAGGAACUAGAGUGGGAGAAGGAAUCUCUACAACAGCAAAUUGAAACGGUAGAAAACCAGAGGAAAGAGUCACUGAGUUAUGUUAAAAAGCAGUUCCAGGACAAAAUCAGAAACACUGAGGAAGAAAAGUGGAAAUACCAGCUCACUUCUGAGUUAAAAGAUAAGGAGAUUAGCAGCUUAAAAGAAGAGCUAAAGUCACUACAGUUGCUGAAAUAUAACUUGGAAAGGAAAUCUAGUGAACUGGAACAGAAGCUAGCCCUGCAGAGCCGGUCUAAGGACAGUCACUUGGACCAGUUGGGGAAGGUAGAGAAACGGUUUACUGCUCUGUCCAGGCAGUGUGCUGUAAUCAAGCAAGCCCAUGUUAAACUGGAACAAAAUGUUAAUGAGGCCAUGAGCAUCAAUAGAAAGUUGUCUUCUACAAAUAAGAAUCAAGAAGCAAUCAUUGUUUCACUGAAGAAGGAGUUGGAAGAGAUAAGCAAGCAGCUAAUCAAAGCCAGGAUGACAUCAUUCAUUCACACAGAAAAGAUUCACAGUUCGACAGGCAUAGAGCAGCAUAUACAGCUGUUGAAGCAGAAACUAAACACGGAGACUGCAAUCAACAAAAAACUUUGUAAAGAAAAUGAAUCUGUAAGAGCAGAAAAACAGGAGAUAAUAAAAUCUCUGCAGCAAGCUGAGCAUCUUCUACUGAAUCAGACACAGACUGUCACCAGAGUAAACCUGGAGCUGCAAACACAGAAAGAGCAGUACCAGGCCCUUAAACAGGAACAUGAGAUGAUGCGAGAGAAAAGCAAGGCAUUAGAAGACAAGAUGGCCAAACUGAUGGAGAGCAAUGCUGCCUCCAAGACCAGCUGGGACAAAGAAAAGACAGUGUUGCUGGGCCGCAUUAAAAAAGAGCAGCAAGACCUUCAAGCAGUGGAAGAAGCUCAUGAUGCACUUAGUGCAGUGAAGACAGUUAGUGUUUCUGCCAAAGUGCAGAUGGGAGACAGUAGUCCAAUUUUCAGUAUUUCUACGCAGCUACCUCUUGAUGAACCUAUCCCCACCUCUGAGCUGUGUAUAAUUGGCAGUCUGCAGCACGUGACCCCAUCUCUGACCGAAAAUUCAGUCUGUCUUGAGGACACAGGAGUCGUGAAUGAGCUUGUUACUACUGGUGCAACUGGAGAACAAGAAACCCUAAACCAUGAUCAACAAUCCCAAUAUAACCUUUUAAACCUGUUUUUGUGCCCACCUAUCCCCAAAAAUCUUUUAGGCACCUGUACCAAUGUAUUUGAUGAAUUCACAUGCAAGUAUAACCUAAGGAGGACUGACCCAGUCGCAGUUUCAGAUUUAAGUUUCAGCUCUUCCUUUGUCUCCGAUUACAAUCUCCACAUUUUCCAAGCUGCAAGUGAGUCACACCAGGACCACAGGACUGUUUACGGAUCUGUAGAUUUAUUAAGCAGUGAUAAAUAUAAAAAUAGGAACGUAAAAAUUAAUGAAAAAAACAAUAUAGUUAAUAAUCAUUGUAAACAAGAAAAGAACAGCAAUAAAGAGUACAAAAACACAAAACAGCAAUGUAAUAGAGAGAAGCUCAUGAGAAGAGAUGUUAAUGGAGGUGGAAGUUAUGGAGAAGAAGGAGAAAUGCUCAUGACCAAAACAGCAGAUAGAGCAGACAGACAAGAGGAUAACCAGAGGUCAACAGAGGAUGAAGGGGACACCAAAAACUCCAAAACAGAAACAAGAGAUAGAGUGGAGGGAGAAGCGAUAGAUGGCGUAGAGGAGAGAGGAAAGACAGCAGCAUACACAUCAGAAACACCAGGAACACAGAUACAGGACCAGACGACUACUGAUACAACUAUCGCAAAGAGCAACCAACAUCAGGUCGUUGACUUCAUGGAUACAGAGCCAACAGUGACUGUCAGUGAGGCUUCAGACCUCUCACCAAGUGUUUCGCUGAAAGCCAUGGACACUGACUUUAGCCAUGCAAACGAAGAAUGGGGGGAUUUGAGAGAGGAACAGUUUUUUCCCAAAUUCAAUACUUUUGAUAGUCAAAGUGUCAACACAGAGCCCAUCUCCGUGCAAAACCUUUAUUGCCUUGACGUCAAAACACAAGAUGCUAAUUCAUAUCCGUCACUAGAUCUUAUUCAUCAAGAUCCUGAGAGGACGGCUGCAGAGGUGAAGCUAUGUAUGAAACCGGCAGCUGAUUUCACCACAGAACAUUCUGAAACUCUGAAUGAGUCAAGUAUUUGUUGCCUACAGAAGGAUGCUGUACCAGCACCAACAGUACCUAUGGAUCCUCCUGACAUGUGUGUAAUGAAUAUUGCUGAAAAGGGUUCACUGGGGAGCAUAAUGGUUAAAUCAAACUCAUUACCAAUCUUACAACAUGAACCUCAAUCAAAUAUAGCUACACAGGAAAACAGUGUUCAGGGUCCUAUGAGCUCUAAUUUGGAGGAUACGUGGGCUUAUGGCCUACUAAACAAAGUGGAGUUUGAAUCUGACGUGGGGUCGAGCAGUUUUAAGGCUCAUCUGAGAACUGUCCCGAUAGAGGACACACUAGAUGUACAAACCACUGAAAGUGAAGCUGAGUCAGAGAUUCAAGGGGAAAAUGAGCCAACAGAGGCUGGAUGCUCAGAUUGCUAUAAGCAGCCUCCAACUAAACAAGUUCUGGGUUUUAAUACUAACAAGUCCUUUCUACAAAGCAAUGAGGCCUACAGAUCAUCAUUCUGUAGCAUUGAACAGAGACAAGCAACAGUGUCCAGAAUUCAGUCUGACAUUUCAACCCUGAAGCCGCUUUUUGAGGGAAAAGAGCUAAAUUCAGCCUCAUCCAAGGUAAACCUCGGGAAUCCCUUCAGCAAAAUGCCUAUGUUUCUCAAAAGCAAACACAACAAAGUCCCCUUGGUGAUUACUAGGGUUUCAGGGCUGUUGAAUGCCUCUUCUGCCUCUGGAACUGCAGCUUCUUUGAGCAACCACCCACAAGGAGAGUGGAAAGCUUUAGCUGAGACCUGCAUAGACACAACAGCAGCAGACACGAUGCCACAUACUGUAGGCUUUCAGCUGAAGAAUCGAUGAUGCACUGUAACCGAAGACUCGCAUGGGAACAUACACACAUGAUUGGUGCUACAGGAGUGUAACCGCAUUUGUACAAGACAUUUCUCUGGUCUGCUACAGCGCUGGCACUUAUUGGUGUCGGGCUCCAGACUGUUUAUUGGCCAUUCCUGCUGCGCUGCACAGGGAAAUAAAACUUCACCAUGCUGGCAGAGCAGUAGAGCCACUAUCUGAGAAAACAUCGUAUCACUGUGACUAAGUGUUGGACAACCAUUCAUCUGCAAAACCUUUAGGACACAGGACGAAGAUAUUUAUUUUACAAGGAGGAUUAAUACAUUGUAAUUAUGUUUUCUAGUACAACACAGCAAUGUGAAUUCAUGACUGUUGAACACAACAAUCUCUUAACCUCUUUAGUACAUCAUACUAUGAUGUUUCAGAGUUUGGCCUGUUUUCUGCUUGGGUUUCACAAAAAAAGGACAGAAUGCAAUGCACUUCUGUCUAACUUUGCAUAUGUCCACACACACAUCAUUGCCAUAUAAAAGUACUAAAAUUGACAAAACAUUUCAUUCUUACCAAACAGACUGUCCAUAAGUGUGUGCGUUCAUUUGUUACAAUGACCACAAAACACCUGGCAAUGGCAUGAUCAUUUGUGUGUGGGAGAAGAUAACCUGCAUUCAGAUCAGAAGCAAUAGCAAUGCUCAAGGACAACACACACACACACACACACACACACACACACACAC